UACGUAGGGCGCAAGCGUUGUCCGGAAUUAUUGGGCGUAAAGAGCUCGUAGGCGGCUUGUCACGUCGAUUGUGAAAGCCCGAGGCUUAACCUCGGGUCUGCAGUCGAUACGGGCUAGCUAGAGUGUGGUAGGGGAGAUCGGAAUUCCUGGUGUAGCGGUGAAAUGCGCAGAUAUCGGGAGGAACACCAGUGGCGAAGGCGGCACUCUGGGCCGGAACUGACGCUGAGGAGCGAAAGCGUGGGGAGCGAACAGG
rnacentral:rRNA from 1 species